rnacentral:rRNA from 1 species
GUGCAGCCGCCGCGGUCAUACCGGCAGCCCGAGUGAUGACCGAUCUUAUUGGGCCUAAAGCGUCCGUAGCUGGCUACGCAAGUCCGUCGGGAAAUCCACUCGCCCAACGAGUGGGCGUCCGACGGAAACUGCAUAGCUUGGGACCGGAAGGCUCGAAGGGUACGUGCGGGGUAGGAGUGAGAUCCCAUAAUCCCGCACGGACCACCGAUGGCGAAAGCACUUCGAGAAAACGGAUCCGACAGUGAGGGACGAAAGCCAGGGUCUCCAACCGGAUUAGAUACCCUAGUAGUCC